CCUACGGGGGGCAGCAGUGGGGAAUAUUGCACAAUGGGGGAAACCCUGAUGCAGCGACGCCGCGUGAGUGAAGAAGAAAUUCGAGAGGGAAAGCUCUAUGAGCAGGGAAGAAAAUGACGGUACAUGAGUAAGAAGCCCCGGCUAACGACGUGCCAGCAGCCGCGGUAAUACGUAGGGGGCACGCGUUAUCCGGAUUUACUGGGUGUAAAGGGAGCGUAGACGGCAGUGCAAGUCUGGAGUGAAAGGCGGGGGCUCAACCCCCGGACUGCUCUGGAAACUGUACGGCGGGAGUGCAGGUGCGUUAAGUGGAAUUCCUAGUGUAGCGGUGAAAUGCUUAGAUAUUAGGUGGAACACCAGUGGCGAAGGCGGCUUACUGGACUGUAUCUGACGUUGAGGCUCGAACGCGUGGGGAGCAAACAGGAUUAGAUACCCGAGUAGUC
rnacentral:rRNA from 1 species